GGAUAAAAGGAUUUGUUGUAAAUUAUGCUCCAUUAGUCUUUUUGUGUUUUCUACCCACUUUUACCUCUGUGACGGUGAGAUAUCGUGAUGUCUUUACUGGGCUAGUGUAGCUUAUUUCUUAUUUAAUCAUUUCAGAUCAGGAAGACAUUGUUCCCCAGCCCGUUCCGCAGGAGGACGACGAAGGGGACGCCUAAAGACUNN
rnacentral:lncRNA from 1 species